ensembl:lncRNA
AUCAGGUGAGGUAUUUAUACUGAUCAGGUGAGGUAUUUAUUCUGUGAUCAGGUGAGGUAUUUAUUCUGAUCAGGUGAGGCCAUUUUGUUGUCAUAGAAAGCAACAGCAGAUGGCGCUAACUGACUGACCGAGGCUGACAGUUAUCUAAAAAAUUAAAGUCUAUUUAGCUAACGUUACAUAAAGGAGUUCACUAUUUUGCUAUCCCGACUGUCAGAAAAAACGAAGGGAAAGCUACCAAGGAGUCACUGUAGGAGAGAGCUAUGGCUGCUCAGAAUUAACAGACUGACCUUCCAGCCCACUCCUCACAGCAAAGUCUGUUCUGACCAUUUCGCGACAGAUAAACAGGAACGUAAAUUACCUUAAGGUUUCAAAUGUUUGUUAGGUUGU